UUUAUGGAGAGUUUGAUCCUGGCUCAGGAUGAACGCUGGCGGCGUGCCUAAUACAUGCAAGUCGAGCGAACGGAUGAGAAGCUUGCUUCUCUGAUGUUAGCGGCGGACGGGUGAGUAACACGUGGAUAACCUACCUAUAAGACUGGGAUAACUUCGGGAAACCGGAGCUAAUACCGGAUAAUAUUUUGAACUGCAUGGUUCAAAAGUGAAAGACGGUCUUGCUGUCACUUAUAGAUGGAUCCGCGCUGCAUUAGCUAGUUGGUAAGGUAACGGCUUACCAAGGCAACGAUGCAUAGCCGACCUGAGAGGGUGAUCGGCCACACUGGAACUGAGACACGGUCCAGACUCCUACGGGAGGCAGCAGUAGGGAAUCUUCCGCAAUGGGCGAAAGCCUGACGGAGCAACGCCGCGUGAGUGAUGAAGGUCUUCGGAUCGUAAAACUCUGUUAUUAGGGAAGAACAUAUGUGUAAGUAACUGUGCACAUCUUGACGGUACCUAAUCAGAAAGCCACGGCUAACUACGUGCCAGCAGCCGCGGUAAUACGUAGGUGGCAAGCGUUAUCCGGAAUUAUUGGGCGUAAAGCGC
rnacentral:rRNA from 1 species